rnacentral:rRNA from 1 species
AUGAACGCUAGCGGCAGGCCUAACACAUGCAAGUCGAGGGAGAAGCCCUUUCGGGGGCAGAAACCGGCGCACGGGUGCGUAACGCGUAUGCAACCUACCUUUCACAGGGGGAUAGCCCGAAGAAAUUUGGAUUAAUACCCCAUAAUAUUAUUGGAUGGCAUCAUUUGAUAAUUAAAACUGCGGUGGUGAAAGAUGGGCAUGCGUCCUAUUAGCUAGUUGGAGUGGUAACGGCACCCCAAGGCUACGAUAGGUAGGGGUCCUGAGAGGGAGAUCCCCCACACUGGUACUGAGACAGGGACCAGACUCCUACGGGAGGCAGCAGUGAGGAAUAUUGGUCAAUGGUCGGAAGACUGAACCAGCCAUGCCGCGUGCAGGAAGAAUGCCUUAUGGGUGGUAAACUGCUUUUAUAUGGGAAGAAUAAGGCGUACGUGUACGUUGAUGACGGUACCAUAUGAAUAAGCAUCGGCUAACUCCGUG